rnacentral:lncRNA from 1 species
AAACUCCCAAUCGACAACUCUAGAAGUACUUCACUGAGUCCCACACAGCUCCAAUCGACUCCGGAAGGAACGAUUUGAUGAGUAGUCGAACGUCGAUUUGGUGAAUACGAAAUCCGGAAGGAAGGAACGCGGGUCUAUACGGAAAGUUGUCAAAAUCGGACUUUUGAUAGCACAACGUGCUCUCCUCAACGUACGAGUCAGAAUCAUCAAAAAACAGUCCAGAUUUCCACCGCCGGCACGCGCCGUCAAGCGCCACCAACCUUCGGCGCGUAGAUCUAACUCUCGCUCACGCGCCGAGGAUGGAAGGACGACGGAGUGACCUCAGUCGCCCUACGCCACGCGGCCAAACGUCAACAGACACGUCAGCGUCGGUCACCAACUACCACGUCAGCAGUGCCAUGUCAAUUGCCCGCCACAGCACAGUGGUGGUAAAUUACACUUUGAACCCAUGAACUUUGUGAAAUUAGCAGUUUAGUCCCUGAACUUUGAAAAAAUUACAUUAUUUUGUUAUAAAAUUAUUUGAAAUUCAUAGAGGUGACGAAAAAAAAUCCUCACAAAAGAAAAGUAUUGCGUUGCCCUGUGAACUUUGGGCAAUUACAUUUUGGUCCCUGAAUUAGGAUAAGUACCAGUUUGGUCCCUUAAUUCUGAAAAAGUAUAAUUUGUCCCUAAGGUUUUGAAAUUACAGUUGACCCCUGAGUUUCUAAAAUAUCAUUUCAGGUGGAAAACAAUAUGAAAUUUCAGAUCAGUUGGUACGGUUUCAGAAAUUUCAGAUUAGUAGUUCAAGUUUAAAAAUUUGAUCAGUAAGAAAAAUUUUUUAGAUAUUUCAUCAUGUGAGAAAAAGUUUCCAGAAAUUCAGAUCAGGGGGAGGAUUUUCUAAAAAUUUCAGAUCAAUGGAAAUAUGUUUUGAAAAUUUUUAGAUCAGGGGAAGAUUUUUUGAAAUUAUAAUUUGAUAUAUUAAAAGUGGGUCCUUCAUAAUUUGAGUUUCGAUGCCAAUAUCAAAAUGAAAAUCCUACAUCUUAUGACCACCUCGCGUCCUAAAACCUUAUCGAUUGCAUUCGUGGAUGGUUGAGCAAAAUUUGGAGUAUGUCAAAUGAGUUUAUAUUCUGAUUCUGAAGAGCCCUCUACCCAGCUAGUUGUGGACUUGACUCUAAAUGCCUUUAAAAAAAAUGAAAAGUUGUUCGCGAACUCGGAGCUUCAUCAAGAUAAGACUGAUUGUCGAAUCAUGUAUCAAAUCUUUAAAUACAGUGAGUUCAUUAUUGCUAGGCUCUUGGUAUAGACUUCAAUAAAACGGUGACUAAAAAUCCAUCCUAGUUUGGGUAAUAAUUUUGAAGGACGAAGAGACUGACCAAUAAAACGAUUAUGGGUUGGGAAAAUACAAUACAACAAUUGCGAGGUAUUAAAAUGAAGAGAGAAUUCAACGAUCAAAGAGAAAAUCAAAGCUGCAAUGUUAUUCAGACUUAUUGCGUCGUCACAAGGCAUAUUCUCUUAGCGUUUCAAAAGAAGCUACUAGUUUUUCAAUAUUUUUGGAGACGAAGAGUUGUUGGAAAGAGUUGGGAAAGGUCAAAAUGCAUGCAAGGUUACCAAAAGUGGAAAGAAUCGAAUUGAUUGGUGUUGACAACUUUCUUUUGUCUUGCCUCCAUAUUUCGUAGAUCCGUCAACAAAUUUGAAGAUGGGCGUUAUUUGAGUUGUGCUUGGAAGAAUUAAAAUUUGAGAAGCCAUGCGAGGGUGUUGAUUUACUCCAAUACGUGAUCUUUGGCAUGGACGAAUCAGUAUCUCCAAUUUAACUCGAGGUCGAGUUGGGUUCUCAAUGAAGGAAGGAGAAUGAUGCGGAGCAAAAUUGUAUUUGUUUAUUUAUUAAUUAUGGAUUUAUAAUUUAUAAUAGUUGUAAUUUAAGUUAAUUAGAAUUUAUUAGUUAGAGUUCUAUGUGUUAGGAGUCUUUAUUCAAAUUUUAUUAGUUAUUCAACAAAUUAGGUUUUAAAGUUAUCAGAAUUGGGUUUAUUCUAUUUAAGGGUUUUUUUGUUACGAUGAAUGAGGAUGUAUGAUGAUGAAUAAGAGAAAACGAUGUUUUUCUUUUCUUCCAACCUUUGAAUCUUGGCGGAAGCCAAACUUCUCCCUCCCCUUCUUCUGUGAUUCGGGCGGAAGACGAAACUUCCUUCUCUCAUUAUACCUUCUGAUUUACGAUUAUUUAUUUUGUUUUCCUAUUAAUGCCGUCAGGAUCACAUAUACAUAUAAAAAUCUUUUUGAAAGAAUCUUAUCUAAGACAUGAAUUUGAUUUGCAUAAAUAAUAUAAUUUCAUUACAUAAUUCGUAGCUGAAAAGAGUAAUUUACUCUACUUACAGAUUAAGAGUUACGUACAUUGCUUGCGUAUUGCGUUACUUCUCGUUCGUCGUGUUCCUUAGGCAAUCUGAUUGAUUUUCAUACGUAUCAUUCAUUUCAAUGAAUAGUAUUAAAGACUAUGGUUGGAUAAAAGUGCAUAGUGAAGGAGCUCUCAAAGGAGGUUUACGCGACAAAGUUUUUAGUUCAGUCAAAAUUUGGCUAAGUGUGGAAAAAAUUAAAAUUUUAAAAAGUAUUAUUUUCUUCAAAUCAUUUUUUCCAGGUUAAAUUGUCUCUUAACUUUGAAUAAUCAAAAACUGAUUUUAUGGGUUUUUAUCAGAACGUAUACAUUCAAUAAGAAGAAGAAUCAUUUAAAAUAAUUGAUAAAAAAAUAUUGUACUAAAACUAAAAUGUUACUUUUUUGAUUAGUUGGGAAUUAGUAAUUGCCCAGGGCACAGGCACAAGCAAAAAAAAAAACAACAACAAAACUCUUGGUAUACAUAAUACAGGGAAGUAACCUUUACUACUGCCUGUUGGUUGUGAUACAGAGAAAAAGGAAAGAGCAUUUAAAACUUUAUAAACCCCCCAUUCCUUUUUCUCUAAAAGAAAAAGAUAAUUAAUCCACUUUAAUUGAUAAAAAGUUAGCUAUGGCCAGUUUUCCAUUUUUCUUCUCAACGACCUAAACAUCUAUAAAAAGUGUAAACUUUAUAUUUGUGUUCCGAAGUUCCCUAUUCCACCACACUAAUGUCUUAAAAAAAUCCCAAUGGACCUUCCCACCCAUGUUGCUCCAAAAACUUUAUUACCCCUAAAAAGCAACAUAGCAAUAUGCAUAAAAUUCUUUUUUUCUUUGGGUUUCCUUUGACAUAGCAUACGUGCACAGUUGAUGUUAUUGUUGUCCUAUACUGAUACACACAUUCUAUAUAUGAACCUCAUACACACCCAGCCCUCACAGGAUUUUUAUAUCGCACAAUCUUCUACUAAAAGUGAGUCUAUUCCAAUUCAAUAUAAACAUAGUAAGUAAAUUAAACCAUAAGAAAAUACAAAAUCCAAACGAAAAGAAAAGAAAAGUCACAUCCCAUAGCUUACUAAAUCAAGCAAACCUAUAAACUAAGAAGCCUUACUCCCAAUCAUUAGAUCAGCUACAUCUCUUUUGCCAUUAAGGGUCAGAUAUUUAUUCAGUUAAAUACAUUCAUAAAUCCCUAUCCUUUUCAUUGUUCCAUAAUCUUAUCACUUUUCUCUUGUUACCAAGCCAUUACUCAUGACAGGGAAAAGAAACAAACAUAGCAAUUAAAGAUAGAGAAAAAUCCAAAAUAUGAAGGAAAAUAAGAUUUUCCAAAAUAAAGAAGAAAGAGACCCAAAAAGAAUAGAUAGCAUAACAUAUCUAACCUGACAAAUGCCAAGGUUAAUGUGCCUAGUUCUACUACCCUUAGGGCACAUACCUUGUCCAAAUCUGCUCCAUGUCCUGCUUCAACGUUUCUAAUAAUGUGGAAGUUGCUUCGUUUAUACGAUUGUGGAUCUUCAAACAAAUUAUUCCACAAAAAGUGAUGAACUAUAAUUUUAAGUCCACAUUUCUCUACGACGCCAUCAAUGUAAGCUAAACGAAUGCUAAAUUAUUAGCAACAUAAAGCUAUGACACCGACCCUUUUGAACCAAUCUGCAGUAAUUGUAUAAAGUUGACCUCUUAUAAAUAUUAACAAUGACAACUUAACUUGUUUUGUCGACCAAGCAAUUCCACAUAAACCCUACAACGGAUUUGCAUGAGGACAUUAUGUGCAUAGAAAUAGAUGAUACAAUAUUGCAAAAACAGCACCAAACUGUUCUCAACAUAGAAUAAAUUUCAUGGCUAUCUUUCCAAAAUAGAACUACUUCACUGAUUUAAAAGACAGCAAGGAAAACUUAGUUUUGGUAUCAUCACUCCACCCAAACAUCCAAGUAAGGCACUUUGGGGAUAUCAUAAACCUCGUCAUAAACCUUCCUAUCUUAGGGUGAUAAUCGUGUUGUGCCCAAAACGAGUGGUUUACCAGUCACUCUAACCAAAUCAACCACACACACAAGACAGCUUUACGUGGUUCGGCCAACAUGCCUACUCCACCAGAGGAUCUGAUAAUGUCACUAUCAAGAAAUGACUUACAAUAAAUACAAGAGGAGGAGCAACACUCAACUCACUCACCUCUCUAUCUCCUCAGUCUUUGCUCUCUGCUCACAGCAGCCUCCUGUAACUCUUUACGAAUUUCUCGCCUGCCCACUGCUCUGUUCUUUCUCCCACAAACCCCAAAAUCUUCCCCCCUCUUUAUAGACCACAGAUAGAGAAGGCUGAGCUCUGGCUGAGCUCAUGGCUCCGCCAUUGUUGACUCAUGAGGAGUGAAGGAGCGGCCUUCCGCUUCAACUCUUUUCGUUUCGGCUCCUCCUCUGACUGCUUUUCUGUCAGAGCAUCUCUUUUCCAUCUCUCUUCUCCUCUCCGUCUUCUUCUUUCCCAUUCUAUUACAUUAGAGGAAUGAGUUAUGGGCUUUUCCACUUUUGGGCUUGGGCUUGGAACCUUGGCCUUCAAAUUUGGGCGGACUUCCAACAAUUCUCCCCCGCCAGCCAUUGGAGGGUAAUCCUGAUCCAGCUCCCCGUAAGAUCUUCAGACCUGCAAUCCAGAUAAUACCUUACCCUCCAUCAAUGGGCAAUGCACUUCCAUACUGAAGUGUCCCUGCCCUUCAUCUCCUCUAGGUGCCCUUGCUCUCCCCCCCCUCAACCGGAGAGCUCCACCAAAGUCACAAUCACUUUGUGAGUCGUCGUGGCUUCUCUCUCUUCUCUCUUGUGUACACAAUCUGUAAGAGAUCAUUGCCACUUAAUCAAAUCGAGAGCAAAAGAGACUCGUUUCGGCGACGUCGCGCCUGGCGUCGAUUACAACUCUUCAGAAUCGACUUUGUGUCUCCUCCUUCCUCUCUGGACUUUUCUAUGGACAAAUCCUGCCACUGGCUGCACUGGGUCUUUCCUGGUCACUUCCGCACGUGUCGCAAAGCUCCUCCUUGCGUACACUCUGUCUCCUCCAGGUGUCGCGCGCUUGCUUGUCGUGUGCCCUGUCGGGUGCACCUGUGUGCUCUCCCUUGUCCAUUCUUCCGUCCCUGAUAUCACGGACCAUGUCGGACAGCAUCUCAUCCUGUCUGGACAAUUCCCCUCCAGUCUAUAUAUUCCUUUUGUCUCUUUUCCCCUCAGCCAUCUCUUUGUUUUCCUUUGGACAUUCUCAACACGAUUCCUCCCUUAGCUGCAUCCUGCCCAACCCCAUUGAAUCUAGCCAAUUCCGAUGGCUAAAUCAAAUUCUUUCGUACAGUUUGGGAACAUAGCCGUACCUUCGGUCAACGUCACAGACCUCCGUCUGCCCAUUCGGACCGGACUGUUCCCCUUCGCCAACAACUUUUGUUGCUCCGCUGUUGUCUCGCCCCCAUCCGUAAACACGUCCCUCGCAUGCUGCGCUAUGUAGAGAACCAUCUUCUGUCUCUACAUAAAUGUUAGGCCACUUCCUGAAUCCAAUACCCAGUCUGCUGGAUCCUCCAUCUGCCGAUGAUACUAGGCAACCGGCAUAAUUAUCGAUCUGUCAUCACUAAUGCCGAUGCUGAUGCUGUCCUCUGAAGACUGGCAUAUGAUGUUUUUACUUUGUGCGCAAUUCCUCCUGAUAUGGCCCCCUCCUCCUGGUCACAAGAAACAACACCUUAAAACUUCGACCCCCCCCUUGAUUGUGCCCCAUCUGCCUCCCCCGCCUCCCAUUAUUCCUCUGGUGACCACCGCGACUCUUUCCCCUGCGCUUUCGUCUGACUACUUUAGGCCCCCAACCCCCCCCCCACCCCCGCCCGCGCCACCGCCCCCGGCCCGAACCCACCUUACCCCACCCUCCCCGCGUCAGACAAGAUCCCGCGUAGAGACGCCCGCCAUAGCCACCCACCCGCGAGCCUACUGGCACGCCGGCUGUCGAAACCCACACCCCUUCAGCUCGCUACACCAAGUGAGUGCCACAAGCAGCGACCAAAGGAACGCGCACAAUUCCACGCGCAGAGCGUAACAGCGCUACCGCACCACAGCCCCCAACAUGCGGAACAAACCCAAAGCCCCAACUAUAAACUCACACUGCCACCGUCUCGCGCGGUAGACCACGACCAGCCGGCGACCACCUCCUCAGGCCCCCUUCCUCCUCCCUAAGUUCUCUCUUUCCCUUCGUUUCCCCCCUCCCUCCUUUGCUCCUCUCCAAUUCUCUUCCGUGCUUCUACGAUUGGAAAUAGGGCACCCUUGCCUGUACCAGAGUCAACUCCCAUCCCACCUCCCAUCUGCGCGGAAAUUACUGAGAGAAAACGCACCAACUAGUCUCCCAAAUUUUCUGGUAAAGACUCAGACAGGCAGACUAGACCCCUCCCAGCUUUCCCCCGUCCAAAAUGGAGGUCUAUACUGGCCACUGGUGACCAGACUCUCUGGACUCUCACCUCCGAUGUUCGCCACGUCCCUCUCUGAAGUUUCAGACUUCACAAGCCUUUCUCAUCAAUAAUGCCUUGUCCGAGGAUGUCUACGCUUGGUACACUCCCUUCCCUCCAAUAAUUUGGUCCAUACCAAUCGUAACGCACUCGUCUCUUAGUGCUACGUGGUGGAGACACCCUCGUUCCCAAUUAACUGUCUGAUCUAAGCUCCCGAUUGUUUUUUCCCUGUUCACAUCUCGCCAUAUCUUUCAUACCUUCUUUUCGUAGGUUUUUUCUCCCUUUAUUCUCCAAAGGAUCCUGCAAAUCUUUACAUAAUAGGAUGUCUUCCAUCCCUUGGUUUCCAUAGAGCUUAUGUGUAGCUCGAAAGCACUGAUCAUAACAGCCCCCAAAUUAGACUCACGCCAUCUUACUUCCCCCCUCCUACAAUAGAAGCAAAUAUCAGAAAACCGCGACCCCGCGGAUGGAUCCGCGAACGCCCCUGGAAAACUCAGAAAGGGCUUGCCUCCCUUUUCUCCCGUCGAAAUCAUACUCUUUGCUGGGACCCAAAUUGGAUCCAAAUCAAAACUUCUAGGGACUAAAUUGAAAUUUUCAUUUUUUCCAGGGACCUAAUUUCAAUUUCCAAAACUCCAGGGGCUACAAUUGUACAUUUCCCCAAACUCUCAGCGGACGCAAAUCUGAACAAUCUACCCUCAGAAAGUUCAGAGGACCUAAAAGCUGUAAUUUUUUACUUUCUGCGGGUCCACGUCAAGUUUGACCCGGUCACGUCAACUCCUGGGUUGACUGGUCAAACGCCGCAGGUCAAACGGCUGGUAGCCUGGCUGGCUCGCGGCUCGGCUUGUCAACGCGGUCAACGGCUCAGAGUUGACCGGUCGUAACGGCUCGGGCCUCCGUCUCUGGGUUUGACCGGCCGGAUGUCGGCGCGUAAAUGUGGCGCGGCUUGGCGCGCUGCCUCGACCGCGCGUCAUCACGCCGCUCACCGCGCCGUAUCAACUUGCUGGCCGCACCGCGUGAGGCGCGUGUCAGUGACUGCCCGCACUCGCCGCACGCUCGCCUUCAGCGGGCGCCGUGCGCGGGCCGCGGCGGUUGAUGGCUUGCGAGUUGCACCGCCACUCUGCCGGCGCGCGUAGUAUAGUGCUCCGUGUGGGCGCUUGACGGAGCUCCCACCUGGGCGUCGCGUGGUUUCGCCGCAUGGGCGCGGCUUCAGUCCCUCUCUCGGGCGCGUGCGCGGGCGCGUCGCGGCGACUUCCCGCUCGCGCGUGGCGGCGCAUGUAGCGUGAAUCUCAGUCGUCUUCAACCCUCUCGCCCCACCACCCCCCCCCCCGCCAGCGGACCGCCGCGUGUGUGGCCGUCGUGGAUCUAGACGCUCACUCCCACCGAACUUCAAUCGGCCGCGUGAGGCUCGUUUGGAGUCCCGAUUUUUGACUCCGUUGGUGCUGGAAGCCUUUCGCGUAUCGACCGAGACGAAGGUGAUGCGUAUGCUUCAAUCCCUCAGUUCUUGAGCAAUCCGAACUUUGUCAGAAUUCGAAGAUGUCUCCGUUGGCAACUCCGGUACUCUCCGAGGCAUCAUUUGGCUCUGAUAACCGAUUGUUUUGCCCCAAAACGAGUUCCAUCACUCUCCCAACAUCACCACACCACAAGUACACACGACAUUUACGUGGUUCGGCCCGCCACAAUGCCUACCUCCACGGCAGAGGCAUCUGAUAAUUCACCAUCCAGAAAUGAAUUACAACUAAAUACAGGAGGAGAUCACAACACUCACUCACUCACCUCGCUAUCCUCUCAGUCUUGCUCUCUGCUCACCAGCCUCUCUGUACCGUCACAGAUUCCUCUCCUCCGCUGCCCACUAUCUGUUUCUUUCUUCCCACAACCAUCAAAAAAAAAAAAAAAACAAAAAAUCUAUUUAUAGACUCACACGACAGAGAAGGAUGAGCCUCAUGGCUGAGCUCAUGCGCAGCCUCCAUUGGUUGACCUGGAGGAGGAAAGGAGCGCUUUCCGUCUUCACUCUUUCGGCGCCUCCUCUGACUGCUUUGUCAGAGCAUCUUUUCCCCAUCUUACUCUCUUCUUCCUCUCCGUCCUUCUCUUCCUUUCCCAUUCCUAUUUACCUUAGAAGGAUGAAUUAUGGGCUUUUCCACUUUUGGGCUUUGGCUUGGACCUUGGGCCUCUCAAUUUGGGCUGGCUUUCAACAAAAUCGAACCAGCUACGCGAUCUUGGCUCGUGUUCAUCUCGUUAAAACGCUUGGUUAGACGGGUUCGUUUUGAUAAUAAGCCAAAUCAAACCUAUUUUUUAAAAGCUAAGUAACGUCAAACCUAAGGUGAGUUAUUGUUGAAACCAAGAAUUGAACGGUCUAACUGUUCGGCCAAUGUUUGACUCUAGUAACCCACAUAUGUUGCCAGCACCACCCCCACACAACUCUAACAAAACUAGACUCUACUCAUUAAACACCUCAUAACAAUGAUCCACACUUAGAGACCUUGAAGGUCUACACUCCUCAUUCAAAGAACAAAAGAAGAAAAAACUUCUCCCAAAUUUUCAAACAGUGCCUACAUUUCUCUUGUUGACACUCAUCAAUCAUAUUUUAUUACUUAGAAUAACAUCCAAGUGCAAAGUUUCCUUUCCAAAAAUUCCCACCAGGCAUUGAAACCCUUUGCCACCCAAAAACAUAGGAAAAUGACAUUAUAAACCACCUCACAACAACAAUCUCAACCACAACAUUUUUGGUAGAACAUAGAACAUAUAAUCAUAACAGAACUAUCAGGGGCAGCUCAAACAACGUUGUGGCAUGCCGAGAUGAGGUUUGUGAAUUUAGAGCACUUAACCAUCCCUCACCCUUAAGCAUAGUUCAGCACUUGAAGAAAAAAAGGUAGAAAAUAGAAGAAAACGUUUCAAAAAAUAGCAUUUCGAAAGAUUAUCAAAAGAAAUAAAAAAUUAGGUCAAAUAAUUAAUUACCAUGAGAUAAGCUUCAAUUCAACAACAAUUAUGAAAAAAAUGAAAGUUAAAAAGAAUAUGAAGAAGAAAUAGAGUAAAUAGAGAGAGGUCUGAAACCAAUUUUUGAUCCGCAAAAUGGAGCAAUCAUUAACUACAAAAAAAAAUGGAAAAAUUUAGCAAAUGUGCUCUUACCAAAGAAGAAAGCUGCGAUCAAUUGGCGUGGGCAAAGUGAUGAGAGAGAGAGAUUUUGAUUAUUGACUUUUGAAGAGAUAGAUAGUGAUGAUAGAGGGAAUUUGGCAUUUUGAUUUGAUAAGAGUGGGGAGGCAUGACUAAAGAGAGAGAGGGUGGCGUUAGAGACAUAGGGAGGUGCGUGAGAACGGAGGGGUUGCUUGAGAGAUAUAUCAGUAGAAGGAAGUGGUUUGUCUGUAGUUGUGGUUUUUUCUAAAAGAAAUCCUUGACAAUGUGGUUUUAAAAAAACAAAUCAAUCUCAUCAUUGGAGAAGGAAGUGCUUAGUUUUUGGGAGGAAAAAAAUAGUAUUGGUGAAAUCUUAGUCCGUUGGAUAAACUCAAAUGAAAUUCAACCGUAGAUACAGUGGGGAGAUAGAUUUGAGAUUCAAAUGAAUUGUGAUUUAUAUUAUAAACUAGUAAUUGGCCCGUGGCCCCCCUUGGCCUACGCAAAAAAAUAAAAUAUUUUCAUCAAUUUUUAAAAUAAUUCUUUAUACAGAAAAACAAUAACAAUAAAAAUAAUCACAAAUAAGGUAGAUCUCCAGUACUUUCUCAGAAAAUUACGAGCUAAAUCUAAAACGAACAUAAGAGAGCGAUUUUUCUCACCCUGACAUCGUCUUCCCCACCUCCUCGAUGUGACUUUUUUUUUUAAUUUUAAUUUUUAUCCUCAAUUCUUUCUUGAACUAUAAUUUUGCUAUUAAAAACCAUUUUAUAUUCUUUUUUAAUAACCCUUUUUCUUUUUUUUUACUUUUCACUUUGAAUUUUAUACAUAUAAAAAUUAUGAUAAAAUUUUAUACCCCUUUAUUUUUUUUCUUUUUAAUACCCCUUGAUUCUUGUUUUUUUUUUUUUUUACUUCACUUCUAAAAUUUUUAUAUAAAACAAUUAUGAUAAAAAUUUUAUAUAACUUUUCAAUCCACUCACUUUAAUGUUUUUUAUAAAAAAAAAAUAUGAAUCUAAAUUUUUUAUUAUUUUUUAAAAAAUUUUAAUGGGUUGAUAGUUAUAUAUUAUUUAUUAUUUGAGAUUAUCCUUAAAAAUUCUACGUGUUUUUUAGUAGUUUUAGAUUUAAUCAUAAAAAUAUAUAAGAAAAAUAAUAAUUUUAACGUAGUCAUACGUAGUAAAUUUCACAUUACCUCAGACAUCAUUUUCAUCUCGAGCUUCUCUCUUUUUUUAUUAAUUUUUUUGUCUAAAAUUCGGAAGUACAGUACCCAAAAAAUGAAUCAGAGCUAUUAAAAGAAAAAGAAUAACGAGGUUAACAUUUUUAUAUAAAAAACUUUUAUUAAAAAUUUAAAACUCACGUCCACAACUAAAAUACAGGUUAGUACCCACACCCAGUCUAAGUCACAAUGUAAAGUGCUUGUAGGAGAGAGAGUGAGAGUUUAUUAUGGAGACAUAAAGUAAAAGUGAUGGGGAGAAGAUAGAGUGAAUGUGAUAUUUUUCGACGGGAAAAAAUAAUUUGAGGUGAAAUCGAACCGUUGGAUCAAGUCAAAUUAAUUUUUAGCCGUAAAUAGCGAGAGUAGAUUGGAUUCAAACGUAGUUGUCAUUUGUAUUACAAAUAUUCCAGCGAAUCCUAUUCAUAUAGUUCCAUAGUGAAUCAAAACAAGAUAACCAACAACCACUAAAAUACGAGUCCUGAUCCCCUACGCCCACUUUUUCUGUCCUCACGCCCCUGUCCCCCCCCCCCCCUCCCCCCCCCCCACCCCCCCCCCCCCCCCCCCCCUCCCCCUAAUUUUGACACCACGGUACAGGACACCGUUCCCCCUUUCCCCCCCAAUUACUCUCUACUUCCUUUGUUCUUUUGGGCGACUGAAGUUUAAAAAAUGUUUUUUCGAAUUUAGUCCCUUAAACAUUGAAUUUUUAUUUUUUUUUUUAAGUUUUGAAAUUUUGAGAUAAGAGAGAGAUUUUGGAAGAACCUUAAAUGAAAUAAAAUGAGUAAAAAUUUAGAACCAUAUCAAUCAAGUUUUUAAAAAAACUGGAUAAGUUUUCAUUUUUUUUGUUAAAAGUGAGGGGUAUUUGUCUGAUUUUUUAAACUAUUUUGAUCGAUUUGUUAUUUUUCUAAAUUUUUUUAAAUUUUUUCAACCAUUUGAUAACAAACUUAUAUUUAUUCGGUCCUUAUUUUCUAAAGGCAUUCCAAAGGUAAAAAAUUUAAAUUUAAUUCAACAAAAUCACUAACAAAAAUAAAAAUAUAUAUAAAAAUAAUAUUUUUUGUUAUUAUUGAUCUUUUUUUUCACAUUAUUUUUUGAUCCCUCUGCAGAAGAAAUCAAAAUAAAAAAAAUUUUUGAAUCAAAAUGGUGAUGUUUUUCUAAUGACAAAAAAACUAAAAAACCUAACUAAAAACUUUUUCAAAAAAUUAGUUAUUUUUUGGGAUUUUUAGUAAAUUUGUCCAAAUUUUUUUUGUCUAAACACGAAGAUAGAUGAGGACAUCACCAACAAGCAGGAAUUUAUCUCAAAAUUUAUUAUCCUGUCUGGGGUAAAAAAAAAUUUAAAUUUUUUAGUUAUUGUUUUUUGAGAUUUUUUGUCUUUUAUAAAAAAAAUCACCAUUGAUCAAAAAAUUCUAUUUUUUAUAUUCUUUUCUGAGAAGAGGAGUCAAAAAAUUAAUUUAUUUUUCCUGUAAAAAAGAUUUAAAUACAAAAAGAAUACCAUUUUUAUAUAUUGAAAGUCUUGAAAAUAAAAAAUCAGACCAUAGCAUUUAAAAACUCAAAAAAAUACCGUUCAGUUUAAAAAAAAUCCAACUAAUUUUUAAAAAAACUUUAUCUGAUAUGGUCUCAAGUCUUUACCUCAUUUAUUUCAUUUAAUGUUCUUACAAAUUCUCUCUCUUAAAAAAAAGGGAGAAUGACAUUGACCUCCCCUAAGGUUUUAACCUAUAAUACACAAGUACCCCUAUGUUUGAACAAUUACAGUAACCUCACCCUGAGGUUUUACAAAAUUCUGUUGCCACCUCCCCCCCCCGUUGCCCACCGCCCCCCCGCCCCCCCCUUUACACACCUGACUUUUCUUCUCACCUUUUUCUCCUUAUGAAACGCCAAAAUGGCCCCCCUCUCUCUCUCAUCAUCAUCUCUCUCCCCUUUCUCUCUCUCUUUUGCACCCUUUUAUUUUUAUUUUUUUUACUUUUUAUUAUAAUUUUUUUUAAUACCCUUAAUUCAUCUUUUUUAAUAAAAAAUAAAUUUUCUUUUUAGUUUUUUAUUUUAUUUAUAUUUUAUAUUUUAUAAUUUUUUCUUUUAAUCCCUUUGAUUAAUUUUAUUUAAAAAAAUAAAUUUUUUUUUUGUUAUUUUUUGUUUUUUUUUUCUUUAUGCACUCUUAUGUUUUUUUUUUUUACUUUUUUUAUUAUUGUCUUCUCUUUAAAUAACCCUUUGUUAAUUUUUUUUAACAAAAAAUGAAUCAUCACCUUUUUGUUUAUCUUUUUACUUUUUUUUAAUUUUUUUUUGGUCCUCGUUUAUUUUUUUUUUUUUAUUAUUAAUUUAUUUUUAAUACCCUUGAUUCAUUUUUUAUUUUUUUUUUUUCUUGUUACCCUUUGAUUCUUUUUUUUUUUAAUAUACUAAUUUUGGGAGACAUUAUUUGUACACAUUUAAAAAAAUAAAUCGAAGAGUAUUAAAAGAGAAAAAAAUAAAUGGUAUUAAAAAAAAUGAGUCAAAGGGUAUUAAAAUAAAAUAAAAAAUAACAAUAAAAAAAUAAAAAAGAACAAAAAAAAGUAACAAAAAAAGGUGAUUCGUUUUUGUUAAAAAAAUUAUCAAAAGAUAUUAAAUAAAAAAUAAUAAUAACAAGUAAAAAAUAAAAAAUAAUAGAAAGAGUACUAAAGAAAAAAAAUACAAAAAUACAAAAAGAUUUAUUUUUUGUUAAAUAAAAUUAAUCAAAGGGUAUUAAAGAAAAAAUAAUAAUAAAUUCAAAUAUAAAUAAAUAAAAGGGCUACAAAAAGAAAAAAAUAAGGAAACGUAAUAAAAAGAGAAUUUAUUUUUAUUAACAAUCUGAAAUAAAAAGAAAACGUAAUCACAAACGGCAUUCCAUAUAUCAACCUCUGGGUCCCAUAAUUUGCUUCAACCUUGUCGUGAACCUGUUCAAUAGGGCCUUCUCUGUGUUCUUUCUCUGUUAGGUUCUUCCACUCUCCCCCCCUGUGAUCUUUGAUAACCUGUUAAAAAACUUAAUUUUCCAAUUUUUGAAUUAGAAUGGGAUUAAUUGAAAAAACUUUAAAACAGAAUCCAAAAAAACUUCAAUUACCUCCAAACACUAUUGUUUCUCUAAGUAAAAACUCCUCGUCGCUUGCUCGUACAAAGGAAAAAAUGCCGACAUUGGGUUGCUCAGUUUCAAAGGGUCUUUUCUUUCCUUCCAAACAAAAUAUGAAAAAUUUUGUAUGUGAUAGUGGGAGUAAGAGAGAGAAAGAUGAAGAGAUGUUGAUGACCUACUAAUAUUCUUGGUAAUCCCAAUUUUUAGGUGAUGUUUGGUAACUGUUUAAUUUCUAUUUUUCUGUUUUUCUUUUGUUUAAUUUAUUAAUGGAAAACAACUGAAAACUUGUUUGUGUUGACCAAAAAAUAAAUGAAAAUAAGGCUUAAACAAUUUUUUUUGUCACGAUUUUUGAAAAUAGUGAAAAUAAGGAAAAAAGUUAUUUUUGUUUGUUACAAAAAUUUGUUUUAUAAAUUUUUUUAUCCCAAUUUUUCAACCUACCCCACCACCACCCUCCGCCGCCGCACCUCCUCCCCCCCCCACCACCGCCGCCACCUCCUCCACCUCCUCCACCGCCACCACACUACCGCCUCCUCCUCCUCCUCACCGCCACCACCGCCACCUCCUCCUCCUCCGCCACCACCACCACCCACCAACCACCAAGCCUCCUUCACUCCUCCACCUUCUCACCACCACCACCUCCGUUCUACUCCACCACCGCCUCACCACCAUCCACCACCACCACAUCCCACACCACCGCUCCUCUCCACCAUCUCAUCGACGCUGCCACCACCACAUCCUCCUCCAUCACCACACCACCACCUCCUUUCCUCCCACCACCCGCCUCAAUCAUCAUCGCUGCAACCAUCACCACACUGCCGGCCUCCUCCAAAUACUCCUCAUCCUCCUCCUCCUCCUCCACCCGCCGCCUCCUCCUCCACCAUCACCACCACCGCCACCACCUACUCACCACCACCUCCACAUCCACCAUCACCUCCUCCUCCUCCGCCACCACCACCACCUCCUACUCCACCACCGCCUUACCACCACUACAACCACCACCUUCUCACCACAACCACUACCUCCUCCGCCACCUCCACCUCCUCCUACUCCACCACCGUCUCACCACCACCACCACCACCGCCUCCAUCUCCACCACCUCAUCACAGCCACCGCCACAUCCUCCUCCAUCACCACCACCACCACCACUGCCUCCAUUACAUCCUCCUCUACCACCUCACCACCACCACCACCGACGCCUCCACCACCACCAUCACCACCGACGCCUCCACCUCCACCUCCACCACCUUCUCCACCACCACCUCCUCCUCCACCCCCGCCUCCACCACACACCUUUUUUUUAAAUAAUUUAAAAAUAGGUGAAACCAAACAUAUUUUUGUUUUUAAAUAGUUUUUAAAAAAGUGGAACACAAAAUAGUUUUAGUUUUGUUUACAAAAAUUAAACAAACAAAAAAAAACAAAAAUUAACAAACACAAAAAACAGAAAAGCAGAAACAUUACCAAAACAUCCCCUUAAUGUUUUCCUGUAACAACCUGGCUCCUCUUCCAAGCUAUGUUUACAAUAAUGGUGGUACUGAUAAUACUAUAAAUAAGGUGCCUCAUUAAUACCUACGGUUCUAGUCAAAGUAUGUGAAAAACAAAUUAAUAUAAACAUUUAGGAUCCCGGUGUGUUCGUCACGCCAGGCAGAGUCCAAAUAUGAAAUUAACAAAUCUGUAAUUCAAUUAGCUGAAGCGAGUUUGGAUGAUAUCAUCAUUCAUGUGUCCCCAAAUAAAGAAUAAGGAUCAGGUUUUUUAACCAGCUGUUUCAAAACACUCAUUCUCACACCCGAAAUAGAAGAAUUAUAAGAUUAUUUUAGCAAAAAUAGAUUGGAAUGGUUGAAGGGGUAUACUGAAAUUAUUCAAAACAACUAUCAAACCCAGAUCAAAAAUCAAGGAUUAAUUACCUUGUUUGGAAAACACAAAUCCACGAAAAAAUCAAGAAUCAUCUUCGAGUUUCCCUCUUUCUUAGGCUUCCUUAUUUCCCCUAAAAUUUUUUCAACAAACAAACACAUAAAGAAAAAGAAAGGGAAUAAAGAAAGUCAAGAACACAAAACCAUGGGAUUGCUGCACCUCAUGAGGUUCAUCCUUGAAAGUCCACGGAACCAAAAACCCCCUUGAUCUGCUAGUUUCUCAAUGAUCUGGAAAUGGGACAAACAAACCAGAAAAAGAUCAGAUUUGAUCAGAUCUAUAAUAUUGAAUCGAAUAAUAAUAAAAUGAACUAAAAGCGAUAGAUUUCAAAAUCUAAAGAAGAUGACCUAACCCAUUUGAUUUUGGGAAAAAUAAGAGAAGGACACGGCAACAGGAGACUGGUGCGUCGCGUGCCGCUGCUGUUUGAACGUGAGAAAGAGGAGAGUGGUGUGAGAGGAGAGUGGCGUGGAGAGGACGAGACGGAGAGAAUAGCAUGUCAUAUAGAGGAGCGGAGAAGGAAGUAAGUUCACCGGGGUUUAAAGUAAAAAUUAAACCUUAGCCAUGGAUAAGGAAGUGAUAUUUUGUGCAGAAAAAAUAAUUCAGUUGAAAAUUUCAGCUGUUAGAUUAACUCAAAGGAUGUCAAACCGUAGAUAGUGAGGAUAGAUUUAGAUACAAACGUGAGUUGUUGAUUGGUAUGAUAAAUUAUAUUUUUUAUAUUUUUAUUGAAUUUCAAAUGGGGGUAUUUUCUUAUCUUGUAAACUUAAAGUAAAAAAACAAAUGGCAAGGUUUUUUUUUAAAUAGAAAAAGUCUGAUUGAUAGUGUGCCAACAAGGGAGGUUCAGUGGUCAAAAAGCGGGGGUCUGUGAGGCUCAACUGGUCGGAGGAAGAAAUGUUCAACCAGUUAGGGAAGCUUCAGUACCUAACCCAAAUUCUCGACCGGUUGGAAAAAAAGUUGACCAUGUCAGCUGGAAAAAACCGCGGACCUCUAGUGUUUCUUUCUAACGUGUAAGCCUAUUUUGGGAAUCAUCACCUCAAAUGAAAAAAAUGCUAUUGAAAUAAUAAAGUUGUUGUAAAUAUUGAAAGUAGUUGUCUCUAACCUUGAAAUCAACUCAAAAGGUUCGUAUCAGGAAGUUUGUCAAAAAUACUGACUAAUUUGAAAUAAAAAUAUGGCGUAAUUUUGAUUUGAUUCUUGAUCUUAAAAUGGCCCCCUUGUCCUUAUUUUCACGUAUUUUAACUUUUAACUAGGAUAGAGUAUUCACUCAUCGUUAGAGCAUUAAACCCUUCGUUAAACCAAAAAUACAUAAAGAAAGAAUAGGAAGAUUCGUGAGGUUACUAGUGAAAUAAUUGGAGUUCACUAGCCUUUUCCUUUCUCUCUUCAUCUUCUCUCUUUCUCAACAACUCCCUCUCUUUAUCUAUUUUCUCUUCUAUUCUUUAUCUCUCCCUCUGUCUCAUCUGUUAAGUGUCUAGUCCCAGCAUAAAGUUGGGAAAGUGAUGGGGUGAGGAAGUGGUUGAGGAAAAAAUUGGCCAAAUUUUGGCAAUUUUGUCUUGGGAUUGGGUUAUUCACAUGAGUCUUAGGGAGUGAUUUAUGCCUACUCGUGGUUCCUAUUGAUCCACAGGUUAUUCAUGCAUGCUUUACAGUGUUAUUUUCACUACGCUUUACAGAAAAUCCAUUCGGUAAAACUUUCUGUUUUCAGAAAAAUUCACAAAAACCAUACUUAAUACGUAGAUCAUAAAAAAUAAUUAAUUGCACUAUAAUUAAACAUUUAUGUUUACAUAAUUCGUAUUUAUCGUGUCUAUUUUCUGUUAUACUGUAACAAAAAAAUAUGUUCGGUACAAAUUCAAGUUCUAGUUAAAAAAUUUCGAAAGCCUACUUAAUACGUAGGAAUUAUAACAUACAUUAAUUGCACAGAAAUAAUAUGUAUUUAACCUAUUGGUAUUUUGUGUCUAUUUUAGAUAUCUAGUAUACUUAAUUAGAUAUUAAAAUUUUGGGAUGUUACAGCGUUUAACUGAGCCAAACUGAAUAUGAUGGAAUAUUCCGAAAGUUUAGAUAAUUACACUUCAUGUCCGUAUCUUUUCUAAAAAUAUAUUUUAGUACUGUAGUCUAAAAUUUAUUUUGUCCCUAGAAUUUUUAAAAAAUUACAGUUUGGUCCCAGGGGAUUUUGACAAUUGGUUCUCAGAGAAGUUUUUGCGCUUUAGUUAGCCCUGCCUUGGUUACCUGGAAUAACGUUCCCGCCAGGACAUAGACCAAUAACAUUCUCAACAUCACAUAUGUUGUCCAAUCCUUAAAAAUUUAAUAAUCCAAAAGUAAAUAAAUCCAUGUAGGACAAGUCAAGGAUUCAUCAUAUUCCUUGAAUAGUUCAAGUAACAUAAUAUCAUCCCACCACUCUGAGUAAACAAGUUUUAUCCACCUAACGUCCAAAAUGAUGCAUAAGUGAAAAGUUUAAAAGUUAUUACAAUAACCAAAUCGUCAAAAGAUUAAUUUAAAUUGAAGUUAUAAAACCAUCUUUCAAAAAUAUUAAAACACAAAUGGGAAAAUAACUCAUGCUCGAGAACUCCAAUGUUAGGCAACCACACUUCAAAGCAUUCAUAUAAUGCUCCCUGUCGAGUACCUGAAAAUUUAGGUUGACCUCAACUAGCCCAGUAGGAAAACUAUUUACCAUCGCAAGGUGUAUAACAUGAUACAUUGCAUAAUGGUGAGUAUGAUGAUGGACACGGCCCCAUGUAGAAGGAUAGGGAUCAUGAACAAAAGGCUCUUAACUCCACAUUAAGUAUCCGAAAAUAUGUUAUGGUAGUCUAAAAUGUGUCCAAGUGUUCCCAAAUUACGUUUAGUAUCCACCAAGGUCCAAACAGUUACCAAAAAUUCUCAUUUCUCACCUUGAACAAUCAUUUUCGUCAAAUUCACUAAAAUGAUCAAAAUACAUCAAAGCCGACAUUCAAAGGAAAUGCGAAAAUUUAUUAGGCCAGUAUUCCUUCCGCCAGAUUUCGUUGGGCUCAGUGCACCUUGCUAGAUUUCGUGGGCUUAGUGCAACCAUGACUAGGGACAACAAAUGGAUGAUGAUCCCUAGAGUUCAUUUUAUCCAUUAAUAUUCAUCUCAAAAUAAUUCGUCUUUCAAACGCUCCCAAAAAGUCUCAUUAGUCCAAAAAGUUCACGAUUUUCGCCAAAAAAAAUAUUCAACAGACGCGUGUUUAAUUUAUAAAUAAGAAAUUUAUUAAAUCCGGUGCUCCAAGGGUUAAAUUUAUUAUGAUAAAGUGAAUGCGGUGUUCAAGUGAUGGUACGGGUCAAGAACACGAAGGAUAUGACCAUCGGGGGGCCAUAUGGGCAUCAAAGGGUGGCUGGAAGCCAUCCAAAAAUAGGGGACAACCACUGGAAAAUAGGGCAGGCAAGCAGCCUAGAAUAGGACGGCGGCCGGCAGCAAGGGAAGAUUUCACUUUAGAGGGGUGGAUUUUAACCCAAAACAAGUGAGAUUUUCAAGCCCACAAAAAUUUUGAUAUUUAGAGCAAUAAAUAGACAUCAAAGGAGUGCAAAUCAACCAUCAAUUCGCACAACACGUCUUAAUUCGUUUAGAUUCACAAAAAUCAAAUUCAAACCAAACCCACUUGGGGCAAAUGAUAAUUUAGAUGGUUUGAGCAAUACGACAAUGAUAAAUGGCUAUUACAUCAAAUUGAUACAAUCUGAGGGAGUAGUAGAAUUUGUCUUCCUAUCUCAAGAUUGAGUGAAGGAAUGGGAAAAACUGAAAACCCUAGCCUCUAUAUGAGUCCAAUUCGAAAUGUGAGUUCUUGGUGCAAAAUGGAACGCGAGUGCAAGGUGAAAAGCGUAGAAGAAGCGAAUUUUAGGCGUGAGGUUUGAAGGGGACUGAAGUUUGGUGUGAAUUUUAAGAUCUUGAGUAAGAAAAAAAAAUGGAGGAGAGGAGGGGGAGAGAGGAAGGGAGAGCUGGGUUGGCUAUUAAAAAGGGGGUGUUUUUUUUUUUUGUGCAAGGCUAAGAAGUCUUAUAUACUUUACCCCUAACACUUUUCACCCCCAGGACUUUCAAAUGUAUAUUAACCACACCCAAAUGAUUCUACCCCAUCACAUAAUCUCUCUUAGAAAAUUUUCAAUCCUAAAUUUACCGAACAUUAUGUCAGGAAAAGUUUAUACAAAAAUUCGGGGGGUCCUACAUAUGCGAACUCAAAAGAGAAAUUUUAAAAACAUCAAGAAAAGGUUCAAUAACAUUAUUAGCAUUUGAGAUUUAAAUUAAAAACAAGAAAGAGAAACGAACAUGCUAACAUAUGUGAAAACCUUUAAAAGAACAAUUUUAACACACAAGAAAAAGGAUUCAAUCACAUUCUCAGUAUUUAAGACACAUUCUAGUAUUUGAGAUUUAAAAUUAAAAAGAAAGAGAAUGACUGCUCACCAUGGUGCAACUACAGUUACCCCCCAAAGAAAUAGGUCAAUCAAUUCUUAGCAUUCGAGUUUAAAACUGAGAAGAGAAAAAGAAAGAAGAAAUUUUCCGACUGCAACUCUAGUUGCCCCGCCAAGAAAAGAUCAAUCACAUUCUCAACAUCUAAGAUUAAAAAUUAAAAGAGAAAGAGAAUGGAUUACUAACCCUGUGGCCUGGGAACUACAGUUAUGCCUGCACCUAGAAAACUGGUCAAUCACAUUCUUAGAAUUUAAGUAUUGAAUUGAGAAGGAAAGAGAAAUUGAUUUGGCCACUAUUGUUACAACUAUAGUUGCCCUGUCUAGAACACAGAUGUCAAUCACAUCUCAAAACAUCUAAUAUGUGAACUUCAAUAAAAUUUUGUAAUAUUCAAGAAAUAGACAUCACAUUCUCAUUUAUAUUAGCAUUAGAAUAAAAGAGAAAGUGAAUGAAACUAAAUUUGGCUAACCAUGGCUGCAACUCUAGUUGUCUCCGCUAAGAAAGGGUUGAAUCACAUUUCUUUGGGAUGUUUGGUCCUAACGUUUCACUUUUUUGUGUUUUUUUUGUUUAGUUUUUUGUAACAAAGAAACUAAAUAUAUGUUUGUGGUCACUUUAUAAAAAUUAUUUAAGAACAAAAAUAUGUUCUAUUUUUACCUUUUUUAAGCAAUUAAAAAAGGUGGUUGGCGCAGUGGUGGGAGGGGGGUGAUGGUUGAAAAAGUUUUAUAAAAAAUUUUGUAAACAAAACAAAAAACAUAUUUCAUUGUUUUUAAAUUUUCAAAAAUAGUGACAUAAUUUUGCUAUUAAAUUUAAAUAGCACACAAAAAGUGUCGUUCAAGGUGAAUAGAAAAAACAAAAUUAAUAAAAAAAAUUAAGCAGUUAACCAAACAUCACCUUUGUCUUUGAAUUUUGAAAUUGAGAAGAGAAGAGGAAGGAUUUUCGACCAUGGCUUUGUAAUAUGUUCCCUGCAAGAAAAACAUCAUCACAUUCUCAACAUCUCAGAUACGAACUCAAAGAGAAAUUUUGUAACAAACAAGAAAGGGACCAAUCACAUUCUCAGAAUUGCGAGAUUAAAAAUUAAAAGAGAAAGUGAAGGAUUGCUAACAAUGGCUACAACUACAGUGCCUCGCUAGGAAACAGAUCAAUCACUCUCAAACAUCUCACAUGGCGACACUCAACAGAGCAAUAUGAAACAUCAAGCAAAGGACCAAUCACAUUCCUCAGAAUUGAGAUUAAAAAAUAAAAGAUAAAGAGAAUGGAUACUAAAAUGGCAAGGAGGUCAUGCUAACCAUGGUGCAACUUAGUCGCAUCCGCCCAGAAAAUGGUCAAUCACAUUUUUAGCAUUUCGAAUUUUUAAACAGAAAAGAAAUAGAAAGAAUUGCCACUAUGGAAAUGUUGUAACUUUAGUGUCCGGCCAAAAAAUAGAUCAAUCACACUUCUUAAAAAUUCUCAUAAUGACGAUCUCAAAAAAAGAAUUUAGAAACAUCAAGAACUAGAUCAAUCACAUUCACACCAUCUGAGAUUAAAAAUUAAAGAGUAAAGAAUGAACUUGUUAACCACGGCUGUAAACUAUAGCUUGCCCUGCAAAGAAGAAACAGGUCAAUUCAUCUUAACAUCUCGAAAAUUCAAAAUUGAGAACAAAGAGAAUGAGCAAGGAUUUGCCCACCGUGGCUGCAACAAUAGGUGCCCCGCCAAGAAAAAAAAUCAAUCACAUUCUGAAAUCUCAUAUGCGAACUAAAAAGAGAAAAUUAUGAAACAUCAAGAAUAGGAUCAAUCAACAUUUUCAGCAUUUGAAAUUAAAAAUAAAAAAAGAAAGAGAAUGGACUUGAUAAACAAUGGCUGCAACAACAGUUCCCCGAAGAAAUAAGUCAAAUCAAUUCUUGUGAUUCGAAUUUCAAACUGAAUAGAGAAAGAGAAAGAAUUUCCCACCAUGGUAAGUAAAUAUAUUGUCCCACCAGGAAACAGAUCAAUCACAUUUCAACAAUCUUCAUAUGCGAACUUAAAGAGUGGAAUUUAUACAUCCAAAAAGGAUAAAUCACAUUCACAACAUUGAGUUUUCAAAUUAAAAGGAGAAAAGAAUUUUGAUUUACGACCACGGUGAAACUAUAGUGCUCCGCAAAAGAAAGUGUCAUCACAUUCUUAGCAUUCGAGUUUUAAACCUGAGAAGCGAAAGAGAAAAGAUUUUGUCCACCGUGGUUACAACUACAGUGUCUCGCCAGGAAGGAAACAGUAUCAAUCACAUUCUCAACAUCUCAUAUGCGAACUAAAAGAGAAAUAUGAAAAAUCAAGAAAAGCGACAAUCACCCAUUCUCAGGAAUUGGAGAUUUAAAAUUAAAAGAUUAAAGAGAAUGGACUUAACUAACCAUGGAGGACAGAUGGUCAUGGUAACAUGCUGCAACUAUAGUCGCUUCCGCAGAAGAAAAGGGUAAAUCCUAUUUCUUAGCACCAUUCGAAUUUUAAACUAGAAAAGGAAACUCAGACAGAUUUGCCCACAGUGGAGGUUUGUAACUUUAGUUGUUCCCGCCAAAAAAAUAGAUCAUCACACUUCUUAACAUCUAUAUGCGAUCUCAAAAACGAAAUUUAUAAAUAUCAAAAAAUAGAGUAAAUCACAUUAUCAACAUUGGAGAUUUAAAAUUAAAGAGUAAGAGAAUGGAUUGUUUAACCAGGCUUUGUACUCAGCUGCCCUGCCAAGAAGAAACAAGUCAUCUCAUUUUACAUUCGAAUUUCAAAUGAGAGAGAAUGAGAAAGGAUUUGUCCACCGUGGCUGCAACAUAGUGCCCGCCAAGAAAAAAAUCAACACAUUCUUGAACAUCUAUAUGCGAACUAAAAAGAGAAAUUAUGAAACAUCAAGAAUAGGAUCAAUCACAUUCAACAUUGAAAUUUAAAAAUAAAAAGAAGAGAAUGGACGUGCUAACCAUGGCUUGCAACAACAUGGUCCGCCAAGAAUUAAGUCAAUCACAUUUUGGCAUUCAAUUUUAAACUGAAUAGAGAAGAGAAACAAUUUGCCCACCGGGGCUAUAACUAUAAUUGUCCAACAAGAAAAAGAUCAAUCAAAUGUCAACAUCUCAUAUGCGAACUCUAAAGAGGAAAUUUAUAAAACAUCCAGAAAAGGAUAAAUACAUUCACAACCACGGUGAAACUAUAGUGCUCGCAGAAAAUGGUCAAUCAAUUCUUAACAUGGCGAGUUUUAAAACUGAGGAAGAGAAAAGAGAAAAGAGUGUCCACCGGUGGUGCAACUCUAUUUGCCCCACCAAGAAACAGAUUAAUCACAUUCUUAACAUCUCUAUGCAGAGCAAAAGAGAAAAACAUUUCAAAAACAUCAAGAUAUUAGCUCAAUCACAUUCUAAGCAUUUGAGAUUUAAAAAAAAGGGGAAAGGAAAGAGAAUGGAUUUGCUAACCAUUGGCUGCCAAACUAAAGUUGCCCUCCAAGAAAAUAGGUUGAAUGUCAUUCUAGCAUUCGAAUUUUAAACUGAGAGAAAGAAAAAGGAUUGCCCCACCGUUUGCAUGAAAUUUAGUCCCCGCAAGAAAAUGGUAAAUUCCUUUUCCUAAUAUCUUAUAGCGAAUCAAAAGAAAAAUUUAUAAAUUUCAAGAAAUUGAUCAAUACACAUUCUCACCAUCUGAGAUUUAAAAUUAAAAAGAAAAGAGAUUGGAUUCAUUAACAUGGCUGUAUGUAUUACAGCUGCCCUGCAAGAAACAGUUUAGUCAAUUCAUUCUUAACAUUUGAAUUUAAAAUUGAGAGAGAAUGAGAAAGGAUUGCCACCGUGGUACACAAUAGUUGCCCCGCCAAGAAAAAAAAUCAAUCACUUUUGACAUCUUAUAUGCAACUAAAAAAGAGAAAUUAUGAAACAUCAACAAAAGGAUUAAUCACAAUCUUAAUAUUGAGAUUUAAAAUUAAAAGAGAAAGAGAAGAGAUUUUGCUAACUAUGGCUGGCAACUAAAGUUCCUCUGCUAACAAAAGGGUCAUCACAUUCUUAGUUUUUAAAUUUUAAAACACGGAGACGAUGAGAGAACUGGUUUGCCCACCGUGGGCUGAUGAAAACUAUACUUGCCCAACCAAGAAACAAAUCAAUCAAAUUAUAACAUUCUCAUAUGCGAACGCAAAAAAAAUUUUGUAAACUUUAAGAAAACGUUCAAUCACAUUCUCAAAUCUGGAUUUAAAAAAUUAAAAUAGAAAGAGAUGGCUUUACUAAAACUGGAUGCCACUAUAGUGCUCUACCAAAGAAAAGGGUCAAUCAAAUUCUUAAUAUUGAAUUUUGAGAACAGAGAAGAGAAAGGGAAAUGAUGGCCCACCGUGGCUGCAUUUCCAGUUGCCUAACCAAGAAACCAGAUCAAUCACUUCUAGCAUUUUAGAUUUAAAAUUAAAGAGCAAGAAAAUUGACUUGCUAACAUGUUGUAACAAUAGUUGCCCGCCCAAGAAAUAGGUGAAUCAAAUUCUUAGCAUUUGAAUUUUAACUAAGGAGAGAAAGAAAAAUGAUUGUCCCACCGUGGGCAGCCAACUAUAGUAGCCCGCCAAGAAAAAGAUCAAUCACAUUCCUGACAUUCUAUAUGCGAACUCAAAGAGAAAGUAUGAAACAUCAACAAAAGGAUUAAUCAUAUUUCUCAACGUUUGAGAUUAAAAAUUAAAGAGGAAAGAGAAUGGAUUGCUAAUUAUGCCGUUGCAAACUAAAGUUCCCGGUGCCAACCAAAAAGCGUCACAUCACAUUUUGGCAUUCAAUUUUAAACUGAGAAGAGAAAUGAUUGCCACCGUGAGAAACUAUAGUUACCCGGGCAAUAAAUAAAUAAAUCAAAUCAAAUUAUAAUGCGAAAACUCAGAAGAAAAAUUUCUGUAACAUCAAGAAAUGGUUCAUCACAUUAUCAGCAUUUGAGAUUUAAAAUUGAAAAACAGAAAGAGAAUGGAUUUAAAACCAUGGCUGCAACUAUAGUUGCUAGCCAAGAAAGGGGUCAAUCACAUUUAGCAUUCGAGAUUGGACAAAAGAAGAGAAAGAGAGAAAGAAUUGCAUACCGCUGGCCCAGCAAAAUAUAGUUGUCCCCACCCAAAAAUAAGAAUCAAUCACAUCUAAACAUUCUCAUAUGCGAACUCAAAGGAAAAUUAUGAAACAUCAAAACAAAAGGAUACUCACAUUCGCAGUAAAUAGAUUUAAAAUCACAAAGAAGAGAAAAUUGUUUUACUUAAUCAUGGUUGCAAAUAACAGUGGCCCGCUAAGAAAAUGGUCAAUCACAAUUCUUAGCAUUCGAGUUUAAACUUAGGAGAGAAAGGAACUGAAUAGCCCACCAUGGAUGCACCUACAGUUGCCGCCCACCAAGAAACAUAUCAAUCACAUUCUUAGAAUUCAGAUUAAAAUUAACAAAGAAAGAAAUGGACUUGCUAACCAUGGCUUGCAACUACAGUUGCCCCGCAAGAAAUAGAGUGAAUAACAUUCUAGCAUUUUGAAUUUUAAACUACGAGAGCAAAGAAAAAUUGAUUUACCCACCCUGGCUGCCAACUAUGAGUUGCUCGCCAAGAAAAGAAAAAUAGAUAAUCACAUAUUGACAUCUCAUAUGUGAACGCAGAAAGAAAUUAUGAAGAUCAAAAAAGGAUUAAUCAUAUUCUCAACUUUGAGAUUUAAAAUAAGAGAAAGAGAAGGAUUUGCUAACCAUGACUGAACCUAAUUUACUCACCAACAAAAUGGACAAUCACAUUCUUAGAAUUCAAAUUUUAAACUGAGAAGAGGGAGAAAUGAUUUGUCAUGUGGUUUCAAGAUAGUCCCAAGCUAAGAAACAAAUCAAUCACAUUUGACAUCUCAUAUGCGAACUCAAAAGAGAAAUUGUGUAACGUCAAGAAAAACAGUUCAAUCACAUCUCAUUAUGUGAGAUUUAUAAAUUAAAAGAGAAUGGACUACUUGUUUGCCCAAAAAGACAAACCAAGAAGAGGGGGAAUUGGAUUUUUUUCAAUUUAAUGACAAUUAUGAUUAAUUAAAACUUAAUCUACUCAAUGCAAUCUAUGAAUCAAUUAUAUGCAAAGUAAUAUAAGCAAUAUAUUAAAGAAAGAAUCAAGCACAAGAAAGGGACACAAAUAAUUUUGAGGUUCGAUCAAACUGGUGAUCUACGUUCUCCCAAGACCUCGGCAAGAUCUUCUUCCACUACUUGCAAUUAAAAAUUACAAUGUGGGGGCUGAUUUCCAAGUGCUCAGUCACUUACAAGUGGUUUUUUUGUAUAAACUCCACUCAAAAUCCAGUAUUUACUUAUAAGAGAAAAGACUUUAAAAACUCUUAAAGUAUUGGCUUUGUACAGAGAAACACUCAAAACUCCCCAUAAGUGUUUUUGUCUAAGCUACACCAAAACUUCCAGUGUUUUACUUACAGAGGAAACACUCAAACCUUAAGUGUUUGAUUGUACAAGAGCAAUACUCAAAACACUCUCACCAAGUGUUUUUGUCCAAGCUACACUCAAACUUACAAGGAUAUUAGGUGUAUGAAGAUGAUACAAGGUAAAACAAAAACUCUCUUGGAAGAUUAAAUAAGAGUGGAAUAGUUCACUUGAUGAACAAGAAUGGACUUGCUAACCAUUGGCUACAACUAUAGUUAUCCCGCUAGAAAUAGUCAAUCUCAAUUCUAACAUUUUGAAUUUCACACUUGAGAAGAGAACGAGAAAGGAUUUGACCCCACAGUGGCUGCCAACUAUAGAUUGCCUCGCCAAGAAAUAGAUCAUCACAUUCUUGACAUCUCAUAUGCGAACUAAAAAAGGGAAAUAUGAAACAUCAACAAAAGGAUUAAUCAACAUUCGCAACAUUGAGAUUAAAAUUACAAGAGAAAGAGAAGGGAUUUGAACAACGGUUGGCCCAACUAAGUCCUCUAUAACAAAAGGGUCCCCAAUUCAUAUUCUUAGAAUCAACUUUUAAACUGAGAAGAGAGAAAUGAUUUGCCCCACCAUGGAUUGAUGAACUAUAAUCGCUCGCAAGAAAUAAAUCACAAAUUCUCAAAUCUAUAUGCGAACUCAAAAAAAACUUUGAUAACUCAAGAAACGGUUUAUUAUUUAAAUACAUUCUCAGCAUCUAAGAUUUACAAUUUAAAAAUAAAAAAGAAUGGAUUUGCUAAUCAGGCUGCAACUAUAGUUGCUCUGCCAAGAAAAAGAGUCAAUAAUAUUUUAUAUUGGAUUUUAGACAGAGAAAGAACGAGAAAGAAAUUCCCACACCAUGCAGCAUACAUUGUCCACCAAAAAAAAUAGAUCCAAUCACAUUCUAAACAUUCUAAUAUGAAAACUCAAAAGCGAAAUUAUGAAACAUCAAAAAAAGGAUAUACUCACAUUCUCAGUAAAUUAGAUUAAACAAUUAAAAGAGAAAGAAAUUGGAUUUAUUAACCAUGGCUACAACUACAUUGCCCCGCUAAGAAAAUGGUAAUCACAUUCUUAGCAUUCGAGUUUUAAACUUAGAAGAGAAAGAAAAAUUGGAAGGGCCCCACUUUGCUACAAUUACAGUGCCCUUCACCAGAAAUAGAUCAAUCACAUUCGUAGAUUUAGAUAAAAUUUACAGAGAAAGAAAAAUGGACUUGUUAACCAUGGCUUUGCCAACUACAGUUGCCCCUGCCAAAGAAUCGGGGCAAUCACUUCUUAGCAUUAGAGUUUUAAAACUAGAAGAGAAAAGAUAAAUGCAUUUGCCCAACUGUGGCUUGCACAAACAGUUACCGCCAAAGAAAACGAUCAACAAUUCUUGAAAUCUCAUAUGCAAACUAAAAUAGAAAUUAUGAACAUAAACAAAAGGAUUUAAUGGUCAUUUUCAAAUUGAGAUUUAAAAUUAAAAAAGAAAGGAAGGGAUUUGCUAACCAUGGCUACAACUAAAGUUCAUCGCCAACAAAAGGGUCAUCACAUUCUUAGCAUUCAAAUUUUGGAAACUGAGAAGAAGAGAGAGAAGAUGAGUGUCACUUUGGCGCAAACUAUAGUUGCCCCAGCCAAGAAACAAAUCAAUCACAUUCUGACAUUCUCAUAGCGAACUAAAAAGACGAAAUUAUGAACAUCAAAACGGAUUAUUAAUGUAAUCUCAACAUUUGAAGAUUUAAUUAAAAGAGAAUAAGAGAAUGGAUUUGCUAACCAUGCUACACUAAAGUGCCUUCACCAACCAAAAGGGUCAAUCACAUUCUUAGCAUUCAAAUUUUAAACUGAGAAGAGAGAGAGAAAUGAUUUGCCCACCGUGCUGCAACUAUAGUUGCCCAGCCAAGAAACAAAUCAAUCACAUUCUUGACAUUCAUAUGUGAAAAAAAAAAAGAUAAAUUAUGAAACAUCAACAAAGGUUAUUAAGGUCAUCUCAACAUUUGAGAUUUAAAUUAAAAGAGAAAGAGAAUGGAUUUGCUAACCAUGGCUACAACUAAAGUUCCUUCACCAAAAAAAGGGUCAAUCACAUCUAGCAUUCAAAUUUGAAACUGAGAAGAGAGAGAAAUGAUUUCCCCACCGUGGCUGCAAUAUAGUUGACCAGCCAAGAAAAGAAACAAAUCAAUCACAUUUUUAAACAUCUCAUAUGCGAACUCAAAAGAAGAAAUUGUGUUGUAACAUCAAGAACAAAUUCAAUCACAUUCUCAUUAUGAUGAGAUUUAUAAUUAAAGAGAAUGGACUUGCUAACCAUGGCUGCAACUACAGUUGUCCCGUAAGAACGGGUCAAUCAGUCAUAGCAUUCGAGUAUUUUAAAAAUGGGAAAAGAAGAAAUGGAUUUGCCCACCAUGGCUUUGGAAUAUAGAGUUGUCCACCAGAAAUGAUGAUCAGGUCAUGUUCAACAUAUCAAGCCGGACAAAAGAGAAUUUUGUCUUAUCAAGAAUGGGUCAAUCAAUUUUAAGCAUCUAAGAUUUUAAAACUAAAAGAGAAGAGAAUGGACUGGUAACUAUGGCUGCUGCAAAACUAAAGUGCCCCGCAAGAAACGGGUGAACCAAAAUCUUAGCAUUGAAUUUUAAACUGAGAGAGAAAGAGAAAGGAUUUGCCCACUUAUGGCGAAACUACAGUUGCCCCGCACCAGGAAACAGACAAUCACAUUCUCAAAAUCUCUCAUAUGCGAACUUAAAAGAGAAAUUAUAUAACAUCAUGAAAAGGGACCAAUAACAUUCUCAGAAAUUACAGAUUUAAAAUUAAAAGAGAAAAAGAAUGGACUGACUAACCAUGGCUGCAACUAUAGUCGCCCCCGCCAAGCAAAGCAAGAAACGAAAUCAAUCAUAUUCUUAGCUCGAAUUUUAAUCUAAUAAGGGAAAUAGAAAGAUUUGGCUACCGUCGUCUGCAACGAAAGUUGUCUCACCAAAAAGAUCAAUCACAUCUUAACAUCUAUAUAUAAAACUCAAAAAAGAAAUUUAUAAAAUCCAAGAAACGGAUCAAUCACAAUCUUAACACUCUAAGAUUUUUAAAAUAAAGGAAAGAGAAUGGACUAACUAACCAUGGCACAGGGAUGGUAAUGUUAAACCAUGACUUGCAACUAAAUGCCCCGCCAAGAAAACGGCCACUCAUAUUUUAGCAUUUCGAAUUAAAAUAAAAGGAAGGAAAUAGAGAACGGAUUUUUGCCUACCGUGUAUGCAUGGACAGUUGUCUCACAAAAAAACAGAACAAUCACAUUCUUAACAUCUCAUAUACAAACUCAAAAAAAAAUUUAUAAACAUCAGAAUGGAUCAAUCACAUUAUCAACAGCUAAGAUUUAAAAUUAAACAGAAAAGAAUGGACUUGUUAACCAGGGCUGCAAAUAUAGUUGCCCUGCCAAGAAAGAGGUUCAAUCUAUCUACAUCUUGAAUUUCAAAUGGAGAAGAGAAUGAGAAAGGUUUGCAACGUGGUGCCAACUAUAGUUGCCCCGCCAAGAAACAUAGCAUCCAUUCGUGACAUCUCAGAUGCGACAAUAAAAAGCGAACUUAUGAAAAAUCAAGCAAUAGGAUCAAUCACAUUUUCAGCAUUCGAAAUGUAAAAAUAAAAAAAGAAAAGAAUGACUUGCUAACCAUGGCUUGCUGCAAAAACAGUUGCCCGCCAAGAAAUAAGUCAAUCACAUUCGUGGCCUUCGAAUUUUAAAACUGAAUAGAGAAAGAGAAAGAGAAAGAAAUUUGCCCACCGUGGCCGUCUAUAACUAUAAUUGUCCCACCAAGAAAUAAAUCAUCACAUUUUCAACCACAUCUAUAUGCGAACUCACAAGAGAAAGUUAUAACAUCCAGAAGAAAAGGAUAUAAAUCACAUUAACAAAACAUCUGAGUUUUCCAAUUAAUUAAAAGAGAAAGAGAAUUUGAGUUAGAAACACACGGUUGCCAAACUAUAGUUGCUCGCAAAGAAAAUGGUGCCAUCCACAUUCUAGCAUUCGAGUUUAAAUUGAAAGAGAAAGAGAAAAAAAAAAAGAGAAGAAAAGAUUUGUCCACCGUGGUGCCCAACAUAGUGCCUGGCAAAAGAAUAAGAUUAAUCACAUUCUUAAACAAUCUCAUAUUCAAAGUCAAAGAGAAAUUUCAAAACAUAAGAUACAGGAUCAAUCACAUUAUAAGCAUUGAGAUUUAAAUAACAGGGGAAAGGAGAAUGGAUUGAUAACAAUGGCUGCAACUAUAGGUGUACUCAAGAAAUAGGUAUUGUCAUUCUUAGCAUUGAAUUUUAAACUGAGAGAAGAAAGGAUUUGGCCCAUCGUUGCUGCAAAUUUAGGUCUCCGCCAAGAAAUAGUCAUUCCCUUUCCUAUAUCUUAUAUGUCGAACUCAAAAGAAAAAUUUAAAAUGUAAGAAAUGGCUCAAUCACAUCUCACCAUCUAAGAUUUAAAUUACAAAAGAAAGAUAUGGAUUCGCUAACCAUGGCCUGCAACUACAGUUGCCCCACUAAGAAACGUGUGAUCACUUUCUUAGGCAUUCAAGUUUUAAAAACUAGAAAGUGAAGAAGAGGAUUGCCCACCGUGACUGCACUAUUUGGCCCGCUAGAAACAAAUCAUCACAUUCUUAAAUUUUCAUAUGCGAACUCAAAGAGAAAUUGUGUAACAUCAAGAAACUGUUCAAUCACAAUUCAUUAUAUAGAUUUACAAUUAAAAAAGAUAAUGACUUGUUAAUCUUGUUGCCACUAGUCAUGCUAACCAUGGCUACAACUAUAAGUCGGCCAUAUCGCUCGCCCCGCCAGAACGGCCUAAUCAUUUCUUAGCAUCGAAUUUUAAAACUAAGAAGGGAAAUAGAAAGUGUUUGCCUACCGUGUCUGCAACGACAGUGUCUCGCCAAAAAAUAGAUCAAUCACAUUCUUAACAUCUCAUAUACAAACUCAAAAAGAAAUUUAUAAACAUCAAGAAACGGAUUCAUCACAUUCUCAUGCAUCUAAAUUUAAAAUUAAAGAGAAGAGAAUGGAACUUGCAAACCUGGUAGGCGAUGGUCAUGCUAACCAUGGCUGCAACUACAACUUGGCCUGCCACAACGGGUCAAUCUCAUUCUUAGGGGAUGUUUUGGUACGUUUUUUGUUUUUUCUAUUUUUUGUGUUUGUUUAAUUUUUGUUUUGUUUUUGUUUAUUUUUGUAAAACAAAACUAAAAGUAUGUAUGUGUUUCCACUUUUUUAAAACGUUUUAAAAACAAAAAUAUUUUGGUUUUACCUACUUUAAAUUAUUUAAAAACAAAGUGUGUGGUUGAGGCAGUGUUGGAGGAAGGAGGUGAGAAGGUGGUGGAUGGUGAGGGGUGAUGGAGAAGGUGGGUGGAGGUGGAGAAGAGGAGAUGGUUGAGGUGUGUGUGGUGGAGGUGGAGAAGUGGUGGUGGAUGAGGUAAGUGAUGGUGGCCGUUGGAAGGUGGCAGCUGUGGUGGUGGAGGAGAAGGUGGCGGUGAAGGUAGCGGCAGGUGGUGUGAAUGGUGAGGCAGUUUGGUGGCGAGAGGUAUUGUAGAGGUGGCGGUGGAGGUGUUUUGAGGCGGUGGUGGAGUAAAGAGGGCGGUGGUGGUGGUGAGGCAAUGGUGGAAGGAGGAGGUUGUGGUGGAGGUGAGGUUGGUGGUGAUGUGUAUUUAUGGUGGAGGAGGUGGAUACUACUGUAGGAGGCGGCGGUGGAGGUGGUGGUGUGGAGGUGGUGGUGGUGGGGAGGACGAGGCGCGGUGGUGGCGGUGGUGAUAGGACGAGGCAGUGGUGGCGGCGGUGGUGGUGGUUGAGGUGGCGGUGGUGGCGGC